rnacentral:misc_RNA from 1 species
AAAUGAUGCAACGUAUAGCACAUGAGAUAGAACGCAUAAACCCAUGACGUCACAUCAUACCAGCAAAGUUGUUGCCUUGUUGCUUGGCAGAUAAAUAACAAAGUGCAUACCGGCGUGCACGUUGAUAGAACUUUUCUGUCAACCUUCUCUUAUUGGAUUCAUGAAAGAUGCACCUUUAUGUGGAAGUCUGAUCGUGGUCGUGUGGCAUCACACACAGCUUGAGAUAUUGGCCGGCCAAUGGGAGACAGGUGACAGGGAAGGGAGGCAACCAGGCAACACCGGCACCAGCGAUGUCGAAGGACGACGACUACGAUGACUACAGCGAUGACUUCAUCAGUGAUGAUGAGGACGCUAAACGCAAGUCUAGGAACCAAGGGAGACAGGGUGCUUCAUAUGGAAAGAGCAAGGCUAACACAAAGUCAAGAGGUCGUGGCAGAGGGCGUGGUGGAGGACCGCCCCCGAAGCAGUCACCUAGAAUCGAUUAUGUCACUCAACGUAUGCUGUCUGCGGGUCGCAUAAAGAUCAAUGAGCUCCGGAACCAGGUGGAGGACCAUAACACAGUAAUCCGAGACCUGCGCGAAGAAAACAAGUUGUUGAAGAAGACGCAGCACCGUCAGGAAAAGGCUUUGACGAAGUUCGAGGAUCAGGAGGGCGAUCUUCCACGGCUCAUACUCAAACACAACAAUGAGGUGAGGACACUCAAGGAACAGCUUAGAGUAAUGAAGGAAAAGUAUGAGAAGACCGACCGCUAUCUCCGAGAUGCAGAGGAUGAUCUUGACAGAGCCAAUGUCAAGCUGAAGAAGUACAAGAGUUAUGCUGAGAACAAGGGGCUGCCGGAGCGAGAUGAACUCAACCGCAAGCUGUCCAAGGCAGACCUGGAUGUUGAGGAGAAGGACAACAGGAUCAAGGAGCUGCAGCGACACAUUGAUCACCUGAACAAGAACCACCGCCAUGAGCUGGGGGUGGAGAUAGCCAGACACCGGGAGACCAAGAGACAACUGGACCAGUUCCGGGGGGACAAGGACAACCUGGAGACCAAACUGAAGGAGAAGGAGAAAGAAUUGGAGAUCAAGAACAUCUAUAGUAACCGUGUGAUGCGUCCCCCCCACAAGCUGCCCGCCUCCUACGGGGGCACACCCAUGGACACCCCUCCUCCACCACGUCGGAGAGUUCCCUCCGUCGAGGAGAUGACCUCCAGGGAGAAGGCCCGAAUGUUUGAAAUGAAGCGGAGGGAAGAGGCGAAGAAGAACAAACCUAAACCUAAGCCGAAGCAGGAUGUGUUUGAGAACCGCUGGAACACGGAAGAUGAGGAGAGGGAUCGACUAGCCAUGGAGGAGAAGGAGAGGCGAGACCUGGAGAACAAGUACCUGCAGGCCAGGGAGGAAGAGGAGAGGAAGAGUGAGUGGGAGAGAGAGUUGGAGAUGAAGCGGGUGCAGGACCGAAAGCGGGAUCAGGAACAGGAGGACCUGCGUAGAGAACGUGAGCGCAUGAAGAGAGAGUCAGAAGAACUGCAGAGACGGGAGGAGAACAAGAGAAGAGAACAGCGGGAGAGGGAGGAAAGAGAGAGGGAAGACCGAGACCGCCAAGCGAGAGAUGAAAGGGACAGAAUCGAGAGAGAAAAUAGACUUAGGCAAGAGCUUGAAGAGAGAGAACAAGAAAGGGAGCGUCAGGCCAAAGCAGAGCGUGAAAGACUGGACAAUGAUCCCAGUGUGUUGGAGGAACGUAGGAGAAAGGAACUGCUUUUAGCCAGGUUGAAGGCCAUAGACGAUGGGUCAAAGGAAAAUGUGAGUCCGGUUAAUCGCUCUCCCUAUGGGGAUGAUAGCUCAACCACUUCAAGUAAAAAGAGUUACUCGUUUUCCAAGCCUACCAAGAAUUUACAUAAUGGUAAGCCUGCAUAUGAGGAAGUGAGCGUUCCAUACAUCGACAGGAGGAAACAUCAGCUGGCCCAGGAGGAGGAUGCAGCUGGGUACAACCCAUCCUUCACCAGGAGGUCCAGCUCCACUAUGAAGGGGGGUGUCAACCAAUCUCCCUCAAGGAAACCCAACAAAAAAACGGCCUUAAUGGAUGAACUGUUUGGAAAUCAGAGUGGAACCAAUAGAAAUGAUGACGACAUGCUUUUCCAAACCUCGGACUCGAGGAAACAGACUACUAAGCCUUCGUCUGGUUUCCCUUGGGAUGAAGACAGUAAACAUUCGACCACGGCAUCCCGGCCGCGAGAGAACUCGAGCACGUUGUUUGGAGGUGGUGCUGCUCUUGUGGAGGAUGACGGACCCUCAGAUAAAUCAAAACUGUUACCACGGCGACAGAGACACCACUCCAGCACUUUCAGUUCCAAACCAGCAGUGACCGCUGUUGACACGUUUGAGGAUGAUAUAGAGGAAGUCAUGUUGUAGGCAGGUUGUGUACAGUGCCCCGACUACAGUGCCUCAUCCAGGAACCUUCAUUACAACAUCGGCAUGAUCACAUUACUUCAGAGAUACUAUUUUAAUACAAGCAUCUAUAGCAUAGCAAUCACCUUCAGUUUUCACAUUUCACUCAGCAUCAGUCACGACCUCUACUCCUGUGUUAGUGCAACACCACAACCGAAGUGGUGGAUAAUUGUGUCAUACGUCUGCACAAAGCAUUUUUCUACAUUUAUGGGUCUGUUGUCAUGUUGCGCUGGUCACUCUUGGAAUAUCUCACCACAUGGACUGCUUCCUUGACUAUCGUGUGGCGAAUUAUCUGUUUUACACUGUGUGUGGAAUGAAAGGUUCCAUCAAUGCUACUCUUCCAGCUGAUGGGACCCAGGUUUUCAAUGUCAUACAAUCAUGUUGUGUUUGUUGUGUGAAUUGUGGAAAAUAUGUAAUCACACAGACAACAUCUCUAGUGUUUGCUUCACAAGAUUGAAGUACAUGUAUUCAUAAAGUUGAAAAUAGUAUGAUUAAUAACUUGAUACACAAAGAAUGUAUGACCCAUUUUUUUCUUUUAAAAGCAACUACCCUGGAACAAUAAUUUGUUUUGAGAUUGUUGGAGAUAUGUUAAAUGCUUGAGCUUGUCUACGACUGGUUAACUUGCCUCUAGACACUCCACACCAAAGACCAAAGACUUCAGGUGGUUAUUGUUAUGGCUGACAGUUUUCUAUCCAUCAUCGUGUUUCACUUUUAUAUUUUGAAAAUAUAUUCAAUCUGUUAAAGAAAUGUUUGUUUUUAGAUCCCCAGUUAAAUGUUAUGAUGAAUGGCCCUAUUCCCAAGCAGUCUCAGCACGGCAAUUCCCAUACUGAAACACUGAUGUUUGAUCAUAGAUUUACCUGCACAUUCUCAGAGGACACUGGCCACAAGUUCUGAAGCAAAUGUUGGUAGGAAAGAAUUUAAAAAAUCCAAAUUCAUGUUGUACAAGUAUUUAAUACUUUAUGCCACAAAAUUUCAUCAAAUAACUUGUUAUAACAUCCCUGUGUUCUUGGGACAUAAGACCAGCAAACAAAAUCCAAGGGUACGUAGUUUGAAAUUCUUGAUAAAGGAUGGUCACAGUGUUAGGGUUUGCUUGAGGAAUAGGGCCCUGUGUGGGUUCGUGUUCCUGUGUAGAUGGGUGCAGACUGUGGAAGAUGCUGUGAUAUUAUGGUACACGAGUACAAUGACAGGUGUUGUCUUGGCAGGAAUUAGGCUGUGAUACAAUGUGCCUGCAGAGCUUCAUUUCUUGUUUACAAAGUUGAACAGUAGCAUUGUGUCCAAAAAUACAUACCGUAUUCGACCCAAUAAGCGCCCAUGUCCCAAUAAGCGCCCCCCUCCCUUUUCCCGGAUGCCCAAGUAAGAUUUACUCACCUGUUUUUUACAUUCGGUCAAGAAUCUUUUGUAGUCGGUUAAUGAAGAGAUGUUCACCAGUAAAACGUAAGUAACAGUUUAUCUCUAGCCCCCCAGCAACAGAAGAAUAACGAUAGGCUUACUGAUGAAUUUAUGCCAAUUUGACUCUGAAUUGGUCCCAAUAAGCGCCCACCCCUUCUGUCUUUAUUUUAAGCGCCCAGGGCGCUUAUUGGGUCGAAUACGGUAUUCAAGAACAAAAUAGUUCUACGAAGGCAAGACCACUGUACAUUCUUAAUUUACGACUUUUCUUUGUCAUUGUGUCGAAAGGCAUGGGGCAAAAUAAGGCUUACGAAAAAUAUUUUCAGGGUUAUUUGAGGUUUGAAGCAUCAGUCUCUGGUUUGUAAUGUGUAUUUGUCGAGACAAAUUAUCUCAUAUCUAUAGCAUCAUUUGUCCUGAUGUGUGAAUUUGUGAAAAAGUGUUUUUAUUGCCUACUGUAGUUGAGAUUGUUGGGUUCCGUCCAUGGAAAGAGACUUUUGAUGUCCUAAAUGUUUGUUAUGUAUAUGAAUUGUUACAGUGUUGUGUAGAGACAGUUUGUUAAUGCUUGUGCCAUACUGGUGAACAAUCAAUUUCAAAGUUUCAUAUGCAAUGUUUAUUGUGUAAAUCACACAACUAAACUAUAUAUCAAAGGAAUGGGCAUAGCUAGGACAUGUAGCUAGGACAGUAGGCUGACCAAGGUUUGUGCUGCAAGUUGACCCAGUAGGCUUGUAGGCUGACCAAGACGUGUGCUGCGAGUUAAUCCAGUAGGCUGGUAGGCUGACCAAGGCUUGUGCUGUGAGUUAAUCAAGUAGGCUGGUAGGCUGACCAAGGCUUGUGCUGUGAGUUGACCCAGUAGGCUGGUAGUCUGACCAAGGCUUGUGCUGCGAGUUGACCCAGUAGGCUGAUAGGCUGACCAAGGCUUGUGCUGCGAGUUGACCCAGUAGGCUGACCAAGGCUUGUGCUGUGAGUUGACCCAGUAGGCUGGUAGUCUGACCAAGGCUUGUGCUGCGAGUUGACCCAGUAGGCUGACCAAGGCGUGUGCUGCGAGUUAAUCCAGUAGGCUGGUAGGCUGACCAAGGUGUGUGCUGCGAAUUGACCCAGUAGGCUGACCAAGGCUUGUGCUGUGAGUUGACCCAGUAGGCUGGUAGGCUGACCAAGGCUUGUGCUGCGAGUUAAUCCAGUAGGCUGGUAGGCUGACCAAGGCGUGUGCUGUGAGUUGACCCAGUAGGCUGGUAGGCUGACCAAGGCUUGUGCUGUGAGUUAAUCCAGUAGGCUGGUAGGCUGACCAAGGCUUGUGCUGUGAGUUAAUUCAGUAGGCUGGUAGGCUGACCAAGGCUUGUGCUGCGAGUAUUUCCGAUGCUACAAACUUGAGAACUACCUCAAACUCAGCAGACACAUGCCACCCUGUAGUUUGACCUUCAACCUCCCUACUAGUCUCUCUAGCAGAUGAUCACAAACCUGUAGAAAAUCAUGUGGUAUGACAAUUAUUGGUGCAAAUUACAUAAUACUUGAAGGGUCUUUAUUUUCUAAUAGAUAUGUGUAUAUAUAGUUGUAUAUGAAGGCUAUUUUCAUAUUAAAAGAUUGAUGAGUACAAUGAGUAGUACUUUGAAAUGUGAGAGAUGUGUUUGACGACUGGGGAUGGGGUAUGAUGACCUUCACCCUGCUUGGUACACAUGACCUUCACCCAGCUUGGUACACAAGACUACAGUCACUCUACUGGACACUUGGUUUAGUAAUUUGUCUCUCACUGGUUUACCUAUAUCAUUUGUACAAUAUUUCCUGAAAAGAAGGCCACCGUAUGAUCUUGCUGCAAUUAUGCCGCAGUGGAGCAUUGGUCUGAAGUGGCGUGACUGGUAACUACAGCAACUAUAGCAUAACACAAAUAUAUCCUACAAAUAUGUCAGAACAUAACCCUAUCCUACUACUGUACUAGUAAGAUAUAUUGUGUUGCUAUGUUGUGUUAUGUCAUAUCACAGAUAUUCUAAUAGUAGAAAUUCAACUCCUACAUGUUUUGGAUCUUACCGUUAAUAUGCAAUUCAAACUUUUCGUGGAUUUUUUUCGAAGUGAGUUCACAUUUAACGGUAAAUAACAAACCUAGCGUUUGCCACAAGACAGGGUUGUCAUGGAAAUGACAUCGGGAACAAUUGUCUGUUGUUUUGGUUCCACUAUUUUCCAGCGAUAUGGCUGUUGAUGUAGAAAAUAUUUAUGUGUGUCAGAGUUAGUGUGAGUGAUGCGUAGUCAGGCCAAUUUAUUGAUCUCAUUCUGCAGCUAUCAUCCUGGUUGUGAAUGUGUCGCUGAAUAUGUUAGCGUGGUGCUUCUGUCCGUGAUAAUGUAAACGGCAUCCCUAAUUCCUGGGGAUGCCUUCAAUGAAACUGCACUUAUUGUGAUAAAACAUUUUUACCUUUUUUCAAAUACAGACAUGAAUUAUAUAUUUCAUAAGCAUAGCAAUACACAGUGGUUUUAAUCAUAUUUUAUCAAUAACAAGUGGUAUGAGAUUUUAUGAAGAUAUUAUACAACAAAAUGGCACAGUCAGUUAAUAUAUUAUAUUUUUAAUCAUAUUUUAAACCUGGGAUGAAUAUAUACUGGUAGUAUUUUAGCACACUACUGUCACUGUGUGUACAGUUUGUUGUUGUAUAUGGAAGGUCUGACUGGUGCAUAUAUCUUGUAACUUUCUAGUAGAGAGCAUGGGUCUUCAUAUAGCCACACUGAUAACACAACGCAAGCUUAGUUGUCAUGGUUACCUUGAUUCAAAUAUGUAAGUAUCAGUAUCCUAUACACAGAAGGGAGGUAACUGAUGUAGCCUUGUCCUGAAUCAAGUUUGUAAGAAUAUCGGAGAACAUAAAGAUCGUUUUGUCAUAUAUUAGGAAACACAUGCACCUUGUCUAAGGAAACUUGUUCUGGCAAACUUUUAGAAUGUAAGCAUUUCGUAUAUUAAGGCCAGAUAUUUAAAUAUAUUUAUUGUGUGUGAUUCAGCCAAAUUUCACUCACUAUUUUAAAAUACUGACUUUAAUUGUAAGUAUACAUAUUUUGAACAUCUUAUAUGUAUUUUUGUAAUACGUUUUAUUUUCAAUAAGUAUUUUUUAGGAAAUAAACAUCAAGUCAAAUAUUUUUUAUUUUACCAACACAAUCUGUAAAAUAACCAUAAAAUUGGCCUGGUCCACAUUGUCUGGUAUUGGAAGUUAGUUUCUGUUCCUAUGUGAUUACCUUCGUGUUUGUUGUGUGACUGGUACAUCGGGUGUGAGAGGAAUGACUGCUCUAUCUAUCACUGUAUCUUCCAGGCAUGUCAUGGCUGAUCUACACUCUGUAAUAAACAUUUACUUAUCUAUUUA